rnacentral:rRNA from 1 species
UACAGAGGUCCCGAGCGUUGUUCGGAUUCACUGGGCGUAAAGGGUGCGUAGGUGGUGGAUUAAGUCGGGUGUGAAAUCUCCGGGCUCAACCCGGAGGGUGCGCCCGAAACUGAUCCGCUCGAGGAUGGGAGGGGAGACUGGAAUUCUCGGUGUAGCAGUGAAAUGCGUAGAUAUCGAGAGGAACACCGGUGGCGAAGGCGAGUCUCUGGACCAUUCCUGACACUGAGGCACGAAAGCCGGGGGAGCAAACAGG